ACUUGCGAGCACGGGACAGGUUACUUAGAAAGCUGAUUUAUUGGAUAUAAUAACAGCCUGAACCGUACGGAAAAGGAUAUCUCGCUACAUAGGAGGACACCCUCUGUCUGUGUCUUGCCUCACAGGAUGUCCAGCAUAGUGUUACUGCAGUAGAGGGCCAUACCACAUAAGGAUCUGCAAACAGAGGGACUCUGCUAGUGGAUCAUCAUGCCUCGUCUAGGUGUCAGUCACAGCUUCAAGCUUAAAUCUAACCCUGUUCGGCUUCUCUGUGUUCUGCUCGGCCUCUUAGUUAUACACACUCAUGCAAAAGAUGCCCUUCCUGUACCGCAGCAGGUCAGCCUGUCACCAAACCUUUACAAACAGCAACUAUCCAUAUCCUGGCUCGGAGGAGCAGCCACAACGUUUGACCUCAUGAUUCUACGAACUGAACUCAAUGAAACUGCCUUCUAUGUACGUGCUCAUGCUUUUUUCUUUUUGUACAAUAACUUUCAUUUGUAGAAUUCAUUCUUAUACAAAAACAGCCUGAAUGAUACAGAAUUUCUGAGGGCGCUGUUUACAUUGGGCCUCAUUGACCAACUGGUCUGAAACACAUAUUUGUUCUAA